GCGCUGCUUCGGCAGCACACAUGCUAAGACUGGAACAAUACAGAGAUUAGCACGACCCCUGCGCAAGGAUGACACACAAAUUCGUGAAGUGAUCCAUAUUUUU
rfam:Myotis davidii contig28640, whole genome shotgun sequence.